CCUACGGGAGGCAGCAGUGAGGAAUAUUGGUCAAUGGGCUUACGCCUGAACCAGCCAAGUCGCGUGAGGGAAGACUGCCCUAUGGGUUGUAAACCUCUUUUGUCAGGGAGCAACGCCGGCUACGUGUAGCCGGACUGAGAGUACCUGAAGAAAAAGCAUCGGCUAACUCCGUGCCAGCAGCCGCGGUAAUACGGAGGAUGCGAGCGUUAUCCGGAUUUAUUGGGUUUAAAGGGUGCGUAGGCGGAAUGCCAAGUCAGCGGUAAAAUCGCGGGGCUCAACCUCGCUCCGCCGUUGAAACGGGCGUUCUUGAGUGUGCGAGAAGUAUGCGGAAUGCGUGUGGUAGCGGGGGACUGCAUAGA
rnacentral:rRNA from 1 species